CUCCAAAUCUGAGAAGCCCCAGCGCAACUGCAAGUCUUUCUAUGAGUCCUGGGACUUCUUUGAGCAGGAGCAGCUCCAGCUUGGGAGAGGCAAUGUUUACUAGGCCUGUUACACUUCUAGAGGAGGUUAGAGAAACACAAAAACUGCACGGACAGUCGUCGAGUACCUUGUCGAGACAGAAAUCUGCUUCACCACCGGUCGAACCACCCGAAGGAGCUGUUUUUCCAUCGAGUACAAUCAAUGAUGUCCUGGGCAUGAAUGAGAAGCUGGGUGACUCAGACUUCAUGUCUGGAGUUGUAAGAUAAAAUUUUGUUCCUUAAAAAUUAACAUUAAAUUAGCCCCAUUGCAGUAAGCAAUUAACUAAUGACAUGAUAAAUUAAAACAAAUUCCCAUAAUUUAUCAUUUUUCUGUUUCUACUAAAAACUGCUUGACAAGUAUUCAGUCUGGUGUUUAGGUCUCAACUUACCAUUUUUUUGAAGUACACAUUUGUUUACACAGACUUCAUAAUUGGGUAUUUAAAUUGUCUUCCAGUUGCAAUGCUCAUUGUUCAUUAGAAUUCAGUUUAUCAAUCUGUGAGAAUGUGUUGUCAUUAUUAUAUUAUUUGAAAAUGGUUGUAAAACAUUGAAUCACAGUAACUUCUGGGAAUUUAUUGUCCAGAAAAAUUUAUUGUGCCAGGCCUCCCUUAAAUUGACGCAUAAAUUAAUUGGCAUUUUGUCCAUGUAUAAAAUUAAGCAUAUAAGCUAUAUAUGUGUGAAACAAUAACAAAUCAAUUAAUAAAAAUUAAAAUGCAUCCUGAUUUUCAAAUGUUGUCUUGCAAUUGUCAUUAUAUUUAAGGUUGCCAUGGUUGCAGAAAUUGGAGGAGCAUCCUUGGAUGAUGCAAUACGGCGGGCUAUGCGAUUCCUGAUGUCCCAUGAAUUAGCAGUCCAGUUCAAUCUGUUUGGCCGACAUGGGAAACACCAGUUCCGGGACCUGCGUCUCUUUGAUGUUGUGUAUGGGGCACUUAAAAGAAAUGGUUCCAUCGUUGGACUCACACAUAAAGAUGUUGAAAAGGCUCUCUCCAAGUGGUUCACUGGAGCCCGGGACAGAGGUGGGAAUAGGAGAGUUAGAGCAAGUAGGGAGGCUGCCUGUUCUCACUCUGGUGGGCAGGUUUUCCAAGAAGGACAGUUACAAUAAUAUGCGAGCUUUCAAGUGUAAGCAUGCAUGUAGGGUUAUUCUAAAAGGUUUUUUGAAAGGUGUGUGCAUGUAACGGUAAACAAGUUUGUUGUUCAAAAAUGCCAUGUGAACAAUUUUGUAGAUUUUUUUUUUUUAUUGUUUAAGAGCACAAUUUACAAUUUUGUAGAUUUUU